rnacentral:rRNA from 1 species
UACGUAGGGUGCAAGCGUUAAUCGGAAUUACUGGGCGUAAAGCGUGCGCAGGCGGUGAUGUAAGACAGUUGUGAAAUCCCCGGGCUCAACCUGGGAACUGCAUCUGUGACUGCAUCGCUGGAGUGCGGCAGAGGGGGAUGGAAUUCCGCGUGUAGCAGUGAAAUGCGUAGAUAUGCGGAGGAACACCGAUGGCGAAGGCAAUCCCCUGGGCCUGCACUGGACGC